UGCAAUGCUGGGCUGCGGGUGCUGCUUGUU
rnacentral:piRNA from 1 species